AUCUUUUAACAUAUCCUUAUCCUUGACCACAACUUCCAGAACAGAUGACUGCAUCCUGUCCCCAGCAAAAGCAAACACUUCAUUCCAUUCAGGGUUUUUGUUUUUCUCAAAGUGUUUUGUAAUUCCCUUGUAGUUCCCAACUCUUACUUCAACAAAUGGGUCAAGGCUCCCGGUAACAUCCUUGGUAGGAAGAUCACGGGCUUUCACAACUCGUACAAAAAGGUAAUGCAUUUGCUCAACAAGAUCAUAGGUGCUGGCUGGCUUGUCUGCACGUAUAACUCGCCCCCCA
rnacentral:lncRNA from 1 species